rnacentral:rRNA from 1 species
AGAGUUUGAUCCUGGCUCAGGACGAACGCUGGCGGCGUGCCUAAUACAUGCAAGUCGAGCGGACCGGGCGGGAGCUUGCUUCCGCUUGGUUAGCGGCGGACGGGUGAGUAACACGUGGGUAACCUGCCCGUAAGACCGGGAUAACUCCGGGAAACCGGGGCUAAUACCGGAUAACACCGAAGACCGCAUGGUCUUCGGUUGAAAGGCGGCUUCGGCUGCCACUUACGGAUGGGCCCGCGGCGCAUUAGCUAGUUGGUGAGGUAACGGCUCACCAAGGCAACGAUGCGUAGCCGGCCUGAGAGGGUGACCGGCCACACUGGGACUGAGACACGGCCCAGACUCCUACGGGAGGCAGCAGUAGGGAAUC